rnacentral:rRNA from 1 species
UUGACCCUCGGAUCAGGUAGGGUACCCCGAAUCC